UACAGAGGUCUCAAGCGUUGUUCGGAUUCAUUGGGCGUAAAGGGUGCGUAGGCGGCGCGGUAAGUCGGGUGUGAAAUCUCGGAGCUUAACUCCGAAACUGCAUUCGAUACUGCCGUGCUUGAGGACUGGAGAGGAGACUGGAAUUUACGGUGUAGCGGUGAAAUGCGUAGAUAUCGAGAGGAACACCUGCGGCGAAGGCGGGUUGCUGGGCCGACACUGACGCUGAAGCGCGAAAGCCAGGGGAGCGAACGGG
rnacentral:rRNA from 1 species